UACGUAGGGGGCAAGCGUUGUCCGGAUUUAUUGGGCGUAAAGAGCGUGUAGGCGGUUUGGUAGGUCCGCUGUGAAAACUCGAGGCUCAACCUCGAGACGCCGGUGGAAACCAUCAGGCUAGAGUCCGGAAGAGGAGAGUGGAAUUCCUGGUGUAGCGGUGAAAUGCGCAGAUAUCAGGAGGAACACCCGUAGCGAAGGCGGCACUCUGGGCCGAUACUGACGCUGAGGAGCGAAAGCGUGGGGAGCGAACAGG
rnacentral:rRNA from 1 species